GACGAACGCUGGCGGCGUGCUUAACACAUGCAAGUCGAGCGGAAAGGCCCUUCGGGGUCCUCGAGCGGCGAACGGGUGGGUAACACGGGAGUAACCUGACAUAGGCUUUGGGAUAACGGCGGGAAACCGGGGCUAAUAACGGAAAUGAGGUGGUGCCGCAGAGUGGUGGGGGGCAAGAUUGUUCGGCAUGGGAUGGGUUCGCGGCAUAUCAGCUUGUGGGGGGGGUGAUGGCCUACAAGGGCGAUGACGGGUAGGCGGCCUGAGAGGUCGACCGGCCACACUGGUCCUGAGACACGGACCAGUCUCCUACGGGAGGCAGCAGUGGGGAAUAUUGCACAAUGGGCGGACGCCUGAUGCAGCGACGCCGUGUGCGGGAUGAAGGCCUUCGGGUUGUAAACCUCUUUCAGCAGGGACGAAGCGUGAGUGACGGUACCUGCAGAAGAAGCGCCGGCCAACUACGUG
rnacentral:rRNA from 1 species